GGCGCACGGGUGCGUAACGCGUAUGCAAUCUACCUUAUACAGAGGGAUAGCCCAGAGAAAUUUGGAUUAAUAUCUCAUAGUAUUAUUGAGUGGCAUCAUUUAAUAAUUAAAGUUUCGGCGGUAUAAGAUGAGCAUGCGUCCUAUUAGCUAGAUGGAGUGGUAACGGCACCCCAUGGCAACGAUAGGUAGGGGUCCUGAGAGGGAGAUCCCCCACACUGGUACUGAGACACGGACCAGACUCCUACGGGAGGCAGCAGUGAGGAAUAUUGGUCAAUGGUCGGAAGACUGAACCAGCCAUGCCGCGUGCAGGACGACUGCCCUAUGGGUUGUAAACUGCUUUUGUAUGGGAAGAAUAAGAUCUACGUGUAGGUUGAUGACGGUACCAUACGAAUAAGGAUCGGCUAACUCCGUGCCAGCAGCCGCGGUAAUACGGAGGAUCCAAGCGUUAUCCGGAAUCAUUGGGUUUAAAGGGUCCGUAGGCGGAAUAAUAAGUCAGGGGUGAAAGUUUGCAGCUCAACUGUAAAAUUGCCUUUGAUACUGUUGUUCUUGAAUGAUUAGGAAGUGGUUAGAAUAUGUAGUGUAGCGGUGAAAUGCAUAGAUAUUACAUAGAAUACCAAUUGCGAAGGCAGAUCACUA
rnacentral:rRNA from 1 species